UAGCCUGAGCAAGGAUGAUUUCCUAGAAAAGUUCGACCUAACAGAACUCCUGGGCAGUGUAGCCAUCAUCCUCAUCGUGUUUGGGGUGGCGCUGCUGUCGCUGGUCGUCAUUGGUUACUGUGGAACCUGCUGUAUGAGUCGAUGUCUCCUGAUCAUAUACAGUGUAAUCCUGAUCAUCCUGGCCCUGGCACAGAUCACCGGACUGAUCCUGCUGUUUGCUAGUCGUGACACGUUGAGUGGUGAAAUCAAAGCCCCCCUGAACGAAACACUAAAGGACUAUGA